rnacentral:tRNA from 1 species
GCCCCCGUAGCUCAGCGGAAAGAGCGAAGGACUUCUAAUCCUUUGGUCGCAGGUUCGAGUCCUGCCGGGGGCACCA